AUUGAACGCUGGCGGCAUGCCUUACACAUGCAAGUCGAGCGGCAGCGCGGGGGCAACCCUGGCGGCGAGCGGCGAACGGGUGAGUAAUACAUCGGAACGUGUCCUGUCGUGGGGGAUAACCAGUCGAAAGACUGGCUAAUACCGCAUGAGAUCGAAGGAUGAAAGCGGGGGACCGCAAGGCCUCGCGCGAUUGGAGCGGCCGAUGUCGGAUUAGCUAGUUGGCGGGGUAAAAGCCCACCAAGGCGACGAUCCGUAGCUGGUUUGAGAGAACGACCAGCCGCACUGGGACUGAGACACGGCCCAGACUCCUACGGGAGGCAGCAGUGGGGAAUUUUGGACAAUGGGGGCAACCCUGAUCCAGCCAUGCCGCGUGUGUGAAGAAGGCCUUCGGGUUGUAAAGCACUUUCGGCCGGAACGAAAUCGCGCGGGCUAUUACCCCGCGUGGAUGACGGUACCGGAAGAAGAAGCACCGGCUAACUACGUGCCAGCCGCCGCGGUAA
rnacentral:rRNA from 1 species